GAUGAACGCUAGCGGCAGGCUUAAUACAUGCAAGUCGAGGGGCACCAUGAAGUACCAAUACUUUGAUGGCAACCGGCAAACGGGUGCGAAACACGUACACAACCUUCCUUUAAGUGGGAAAUACCCCAAAAAAAUUUGAAUUAAUACCCCGAAACAUUGCGAUGUGGCAUCACAUUGCAAUUAUAGUUUCGGCCCUUAAAGAUGGGUGUGCGUAUGAUUAAAUAGUUGGCAAGGUAACGGCUCACCAAGUCUACAAUCAUUACCUGAUGUGAAAGCAUGAUCAGCCACACGGGCACUGAAACACGGCCCCAACUCCUACGGGAGGCACCAUUAAGGAAUAUUGGUCAAUGAACCCAAGUCUAAACCAGCCAUGCCGCGUGAAGGAUUAAGGUCCUCUGG
rnacentral:rRNA from 1 species